UACAGAGGGUGCAAGCGUUGUCCGGAAUCACUGGGCGUAAAGGGCGCGUAGGCGGCUCAUGAAGGCUGUGGUGAAAGUCCGGGGCUCAACCUCGGAUCGGCCGUGGCGACUCGUGGGCUGGAGCACUGUAGAGGCGGGUGGAAUUCCGGGUGUAGCGGUGGAAUGCGUAGAGAUCCGGAAGAACACCAGUGGCGAAGGCGGCCCGCUGGGCAGUGGCUGACGCUGAAGCGCGACAGCGUGGGGGAGCAAACAGG
rnacentral:rRNA from 1 species